GAAAAGGUUCUUAGAACCACCAUUAAACCAAAAUAAAAGGUAU
rfam:Aedes albopictus isolate Foshan contig1135, whole genome shotgun sequence.